rnacentral:lncRNA from 1 species
GUUAUGAGCGUCAACUGAAGGCAUUCCUGGUCUAGUAUCAACAACACGUGCACUAGUAUGAAAUGGAAGUGCGAGUUUCAGCUCUUUGACAUCACUUUCUAAUGCAGAGAAGAUACACCGGUCUACAAAUGGUCCGAGUUCUUUUACCCGUAAUUCAUACAAGUCAAGUGUGAACUUGUCUAACCUUAUCAUCUCCCUGCGGCGGGUGCGCAGAGUUCCCUCUACAUAAUUUAAUGCCCUGCUUAACUUCUCAUCUCCAAGUUGAGCUUCAAUUUUGUUGUUGCAAGAAACCGAAGGAACUUGAUUAAAGAAAGUUUUAUCAAAUUCCAAAAUUGGGAAUGUACGCCAGGCAUGUUCCCAUGCUUGCGACAAAACAGUUGUUUGAACUACUUGUUUAAAUGAGAGGAAUGACAAAAUACAAUGCAGUAUUGGUUCCGGCAAAUUAGAUAUCCUGUCCAUGCUGCUAAGCACCUCCUCCAUAAUAACAAUAUCAUCACCAGAUUCCCUGAAUCAGUAGCAACAUCUUCCUUCUAAGUAUGCUAAUUAAAUUGAGACAACGGAGUACUAAUAAUAAUAAGAAUAUUGGCUGGAUUCUAUCAAUUUAAUUCAAUGUAAUAAAGAAAAUAAAUAAUCCUAACAAAAACUAUUUUGAAUUGAACAUGUUUAAUUUCUUUUUUGUACGAGAAGAGACACUGAAACUUUCACUUUCACCGGAAAAAGAAAAAUCAGCCUAAAACAGAACUGAAUUAUUUAUAAAAGAAAAGAAAGGAAAAGAAAAGAAAAGAAAAAGAGACACGUUAACACAGAACCAAUAUGGAUGAGGAUGAUAAAAUACCUAUUCAUCCGAUCGAUCAAUCGUGACAGUCCAACAGCGACAGCGACGGCAACCGAAACAGCAGAACUGUCAAGAAAGGAUUGAUCUGCUUUAACUAUGUUUUGUAUAGGCUUAAUUUUGAGGAUUCCGAAUCCAAAACAGACAAAGUCACAACAGCAAAAUUAUGUAGCCUCAGUCUGCUCCGUGUAUAUAUAUUUUGAAAAUUCCAAAUCCAAAUCGGACACGUCCUUCUGCUUCUCCUAACGCGAAUCGGACAUGCGGCUAGUCGCUACGCAACAGUAAUUAAGCUUUUUGGAGAUAAAGAGUGGUUUCGUUUCCAUCUAUUUUAUGUACUUCCAUCUGUUAGUUGAAGAACUAGUUUGUUACAAAGUACGCAAAUCUAACCCUGACAACUUCGGAUGACGCAAUCUUUUGUCAUCAAAUAGGCUUUUGAGUCUUGACUCUUGACACCCCCUUUAAAUUUCCGAACUGCUUAAAUAAUCGAGGUAAUUUAUGAAUAAUGAUAAAUAUUUUAAAAAUUUUAUCCCAAAGAAAUUCAAGUAAAUAUUUAAAUAUUAUUAUUCCUUGAAAAAAAAUUUAACACUAUCUUAUUUCAUAAUUUGUAUUAUUCUUUAAAUUUUAAUUAAAGAUAUGUUUUUUAUUGAUGCGAGAUUCUGAUUACCCUCUCGACCACGACCAGCAUCUCUGCUCAAUCAACUCGACCACGAUCAGGAUCUCUUCUCGUAUGACUUCUUCCCCAAAAAUUCCUGCGUACACAUAAAUAAGUUAGAGCACGCCGGUUGUUUUUUCGGCGUAAACCCUCCGACGCUCAAGUCAGAAAUGAAGGUUUUGUGUUCCUGGGAACGUUAGCCACUAAUCUUAUGGCUAAUUUUUGGUAUCGAUUACUCGAUGCUCUCUUUAUCUCAGUUUCAAUGUCAAAAAUCUUAACCCUUUUAUUUUUGUUGACUACCUUUUUAUAAGCUUCUCCUGAAUUCAAACCUUCCCUCCAUUCACGCCUGUUAUCCUCCCACCUCUCAAAAGUGGAUGCUCCGUUUCUGUAAUCGUGGGUGGUUGCAUGACCUUCGUGCCUUGAUUCUCGGAUUAGAGAGCACGUCUCGCCAACUGUCGUUGACCGGGUCUCCUCGCCUCAACCCUUAGCAGGAAUGGCUUUAUACUUCUAACAGGAGACCGGCCUCGCGGAUGGCGUAUUCGUGGAUGAGCAGAAUAUUCCUACUCAUGUUCCCCUGCUACCAGACUCUUACAAGAUAUACCUAUUCGUGGAACCCUGCUACCAGAAGUCUGCUAAACCCGGCUGGUCUCGUUGAAGCACAUCCCCAAACAUUCUUGAGAAAAGUACAAAAAUUUAAAGUAAUGGAGAUAAAAAUUAUAUAUUAAGAAAAAAUAAUUUAAGAUUUUAAUAUUUUAAUAUAUUUUAUAAAUAAAAAUUUUAGCAUAUAAUUUUGUAUUACAUAGGUUAAUUUUAAUAUAUACAUUUUUAUUUUAUAAAUUAAAUAAAUAAAAUUUAGAAGAGAUGAUAUAAAAAUUUUAAGGGUGAGGCUAUCAUAAGUCUUGACAGUUAAUUUCGGACAGUUUGACUCAAUAAAAUAUUCAAUUAACCCAAUUUCUCGUGACUCCCAUCAAACAAAGAUUUAAAUUUAUAGUUUUCCUUUAAACUCCCAUUUUAAUUGCUAAAAAUAUCCUCUUUAUAUCUAUUUUCUUCGUCAAUCUCAAUGAACACAAGAGUUUCGCAUGAUUAUAUCCUUUCCAAAAUAAUUGCUUACCCGUAAACUUAAUAAAUGAUCCUUAAAAGAUUAUUACUUUGGUAAUUAAUAUAAAUUUAAUCAUUAGAAAGUCUUGUACUGUAGAAAGGUCCUCAAUUUUGACUUGGUAUUAUGCAAAUAGACUUUUUGAGUUUCGUGCAAAAAUUAAUUCAAUACCACCCUUUUGCAAUCAAAAUGUUAAUUUGGUACAAGUUUUUUAGUAGAUUCUUGCACUCCUCCAAAAUUAUCUUAAAAUCUCUCUUUUAAUUAUACUUACCUUCAUUUUAAUAAUAUUCUUUUUUUUAAUAAAUAAACACUCUUUUCAUUUUAAAUUGUUUAAACUCUUUACAAACUCAAAACACUAGCUUUUCCAAAAUAUAAUUAAUCAAUAUGAAUAAAUAAGAAAAAAAAGAAGAAAAGAUUGGAUUUUUUUUUUCAGCAUGACAUAAAUUCCAAUAACAAACUCAUGUUGGCGAUUUUGAUUGGCAAAGGCGAUCGACGUGCCACAGUCAAGUCAAUGUUUGCUAUUGCAAGAUCAUAUGGCUAAAUUGUUUUGGGUAAGCUACCCUUUUAUGCCCCAUCUUUCUUCUUCAGUAUCAAAUGGAUUAAAAAAAAAAAGGAGCUGCUUAGGGAAGUACAAAUUGAAUUUGUGCAUGGUAUAAUUAGUACUCUUUACUUUUAAGGUCGUUGGCUACUGGCCAACCUUAAAACUCUACGGUAACAAUUCACCAUCAAGUUUAUUAACUACAAACAAUUAAACAAAAAAUGUCAUUUGAGUAGAAAAGAAUCCAGAGUGGCUAGAUAAAGUAAAUAAAAGAAGAUACGAUAGGGGUUUUAAAAAAUAAAAUAUGGGUUUUAUAUAAAUUGAGAUAAUCCUAUUAGUAUUUGGGAGAAACCUGUGGUGCAACUGUGGUACCGUGCCACAAUUGCAUCCAGCCGUUGGAUGCCAAUGGACGCCACCAAUCUAAGUGCAUCAAACGACUGGAUGCAACUGUAGCACGGUACCACAGUUGCACCGUAACCUGAUCCUAAUAUUUGUUCUUAAAUAUCAUUAUAAUACAGCAGUGGGCUAAUGAGAUUAAUAGGGGGACGCAGUGCUCCUAACACUGAUCUAUUAAGGAUUUUAAAUUAGCGGCAACGUGGGCCGAAUUUAAUUUGAUCAAUUAAAAUAAGCGGGUGUUCAAAUUCGGCCCACGUUGCCACUCCUUUAAUAUCUAGAGUUGCAGAGAAUGAUUUAAAUUAGUGGCGAUGUGGGCCGAAUUUAAUUUGAUCAAUUAAAAGGGGGUGGGCAAAUUCGGGCCACGUUGCCAAUCCUCCAAUAUCUAGAGUUGCGGAGAAACAAUUUAACUUCAGUAUAUUCAUUAACAAGAUAAAAACAAAUAACGACCAUAUAAGUAACAACGGGAGAUUUAUUGAUGACAGAUGUUUUACAAUGGCUUUAACAGAUAAACAAAAUAAUCUGACUUGAAACAUUUUCCCAAUGGUAUUUUUUUUUAAAACAUUCAUGUGAAAUAAUAUUUGCUGGCAGAUUUUUUAUGUAAGCAUGAAGACAAUGACAGCGCAAGUCUACUUUUGUUUUGUGAAAUGAUUAAGUACAGUCACUCAUUUAUUCAAGAAAAGAUUAUUGAAAUCUAUUUUUGAUAAUUAUGCAUGGAUGAAAUAUAUUUGGGUUACUAUAAUUAAAGGCAUUACAGUCUAAAAACAAUCCUCUAAUCUCCAUGAUUAUUUUUUAGAAUAAGAUGGUCACUUUAAUCAAAGGUCAUAAUUAAUCUACCGAGAAUAAAAACAGUACAAUAUCAAUGCCAAUGGCGCAAAUUUGGUGACCGACCGGCCACGUUUUGGACGCCGAUUACAUGAACAAAACGGUAAAAAUUUGAGAUUUAUGUUGGACGCCAAUUAUGGUUCUUGUGGAGGACGCUGUAAAUGGUUUUGCAUGUUAUGGAUUGUUAUGAAGAGUUUAAUCGUUAGCUUCAUCCUGCUUAGGUUCAAUAUGUUUCUAUUGAUUCCUUUGUCUGUUUCCUUUGAGAUGGAGAAGGUUCUUGCGGAAGAAAUUCGACAAAUAAGUUUUUGUUAUUUAUUCUGCUGGAAAUUGAAUUUAUGAAAUCUUGCUGCCAUGAAGAAAUAUCAUUUGGCAAUCGACUGCGUUUUGCAGUCGAUACAGCGAAAAUAAUAGAAUAAAUGGUUAAAUUUAUUAUUUUCACUUUUCUGUUAUGCCAAUGCGACCUCCAGAUUUCAGCAUGAUGCGGCGGUAUUGUAAUGCAUGAUGCGGUCCUUCAUUUUCGUUGUACUUAUGGUUGCUUUCUUAAUGCCUUAAUGAAUAAUGUUGCUUUUUAUCCUAUUUUAUCAUGUUUGUUUGUUAUCUAUUUCCCUAAGUCGCAUGUACAUAUGCUAUUGGCCAAAAGAUAAUCAAAAUAUAGGCUUUGAGAAAGCUAUUUAAUCAUUUACAUUUCAUUAUUUUAAUUGGAAGAGCAAAAUAAUUCUUCGAAGGAGUUUGGUUGUUGAGGUAUGCAUUAGGUUGUAUGUGGAACAAUGUGUUUUAUGGAAAGAAUAUAGAAAAUGCCUUUAUAGUAUGUUGCAUUGUCAUACUUAAUCCGUUUAAUUGCUUUUCCUUGUCCAUUGAGAUAUUUGUGAACCUCUGUCACCAUAAAAUCAAACUGAAUGGUGGAAUGACAUUGCUUUUUGUUGGUAGGCACUAUUUUAGAUUUAUAACUGUGGAUUUUCAUAGGCUGUCAAUGUGAAAGGUCUAUCUGUAGACAAAUUCCUUGCACAGCAGAAGGGCAACUGGGGCUCCAUUGUUUAAGGAGAUCAAAGUAGGAGCCAGGUUAUUGUCAUGCUUCGUAAUGAAUUUAAUCAUCCCCAGUUGACGAAUAAUGUUGCUGAUAGCGUCCUGUUGUGUAGGAAUUACCUGGUAUUUCGUGGCGGUUGAAUGAAGUUAGAACUGUGGCAUAUGAGAAUUUUUUAUAAGAAGCUGAUCAUAAUCUAUCAUAUGGGCAACAAAUAGGAAAACAGUUAAUGUUGUGUAAAUUAGCAUUGUACUAUUGUAAUACAUUUGUGUUACUCCAUAAAAUUUCAACUAGUUUGCUUGUAAUGAACAUUUCAGUGUAUAAUGACGUUGUAAGGGGUAGGCGCGAAGAUUUGUGAAAAUUUGAACGGAGUUGAUUAUGAGCAAGUACAUGUGCUGGAGAUUUUUUGUUGAAAUUUAUUAUGGCUCCCAUGUAUCCGGUGGCCUUAGUAAUUUGCAUAGGUAAUUGACAGACAAUGAUUUAUUGGGUUGCAUUAUCGGUUUCUAUGUAAGGGAUAAGUCGGUGACUGACAUCGAUUUAAGUUCUUGAGAAGUUGGAAUUCACUGAGUUCACAUGGAAAUUAUAUGAGAGACCUCUUGCAACAUAAGCAACCUGUAAGUUACAAAAAGCUAAUAGAAUCCAUAGUUUCUUUCCCUUCCACUACUUCCUUCUGCAACGCUAGUAUCUACAACAGUUUCCUUAGUAAUCUCUAUAUAGCAUGCUUUCUGAUAUAACAUGCUUUCCGCUUUUCACUCUGACCUACCUUCAUUCUUGGACAAAGUUACACAUUAUCUUUUAGUCUGAACCUCACUUUCGAUUUUCUGCUCCGUCUAAUCUCAAAGCACAUGAACUACAUUCAUUACAAAAAAACAAUUUUCAUAUUUGACGAUUUUUUUCAAAUAACUAAUAGCCACUGCUAUACUUAUAGCUACAAUUAUAUUGCCACUUCAUACAAACUUACCUGAAAUUUCCAACAGGUUCUGUUGUUCAACUCACCAACGCGGAUAAUUCAUAACCAAAAUGGCCAACUCUACAGUUAUUCUCAAUUUUUUCGCUGCCUCGAAUUGCACGAACAUUUGUUAAAACCCUAAAGUACCAUGUAACCUGUCUUAACCGGUUGCCAAUUUAAAACAUAAUUAAAGAUAUCAAACUGGAGCCAUUAGAUCAUGUGCCCAUAUAUCCUACGGCUAUUGCAAAUGAUGACAAAAUAAGGGGUAUCUUCCCCCAACUGGAAGGCAGCCGGGUCCAUCCAAAUUAUAUUCUAUGCUUAGUUUUCUAAUUUGAUUUUUGAUUUUAAGACUCUUUCAUUGAACAUAACAUAGAUCAGAAAAAAGAAAGAGAAAAAAAAGUCUUUUAUUUAUGCUGAUAUGCCAUUCUAAUUUCAAGUGUCACUGUUUACCAACUGAGUUUCACCAGCUUCCACUCCAGAUUCUUGAUAUGCCAUUCUAAUUUCAGGUGUCAUUAUUUACCAAUUGAGUUUCACCAGCUUCCACUUCAGAUUCUUCACCGACACACCAACUGCAUCUAAAGAAAAACCCCCAGUUGAGAGACUGGUAUUAGGGUAUUCAAUCCCAUUGGUCUGUGGGGGGGGGGGGGGAGCACUAGUUAAACAAUUCAAUUUACAUGGUAUGGUAAAUGAAGUAUUAGCAAAUGAAAACAGAGUACAGCAACAGAAACUUACUCCCACGAUCUUCCAGCCCAUGUCAAACUGAUAGGCUAUUGGCUCGACAGCACACCACAACAGCUAGUGGUGACUCACCUCCAACAUAAGGCACGCCAAAGCAUCCAGAGGCCAGGCCUAGAGUCCCUCUCCGAGAGCAGUCAUUACACUAUUGUACAUAAAAUUGAAUCAUAUCAUAAGCAAACAACAAAAUAUGUUAUGACUAAGAAGGAUUGCACAUACAUUAAUAAGACACAAGCAGCCAUCAACAAUAAACAGAACCAAAAGCAUAGGCAGGAAUUGCUAUUAGAUACUUGAAAUUGGUACCUUAAUUGCAGCCUAAAUUGUUGACAAAUUAGCUAGCUCAAUUUCACAUUUGAAUUGAAGGAUGCAUAAUUGACUCCCAAGACCUGGGUUAAUUUGUACCAACCAAUAUGGUCGGAAAAUGCUUGCUUGUGUGAUAUGCAUGAAUGUGUCAAUUUCUUUAAGAAUGGAAUUCUUGUCGAUGACAAUUCAAUGCUCUAAUAAUAAUGCUCCUAGAAGAUCUCAAUUACUUGUUUUAAAGCAUCAGCUAUUGCUGCUGCUGCCAAUUGUGUUUCCAUAAACCAGUCAUUAGAGAACUAUUAAUGCAUCUAAAUCAAUCAAACAGUGGCUGAUGUGCACGCCGCGCACAAACAUGAUUAGGUAUAGAUUGCUACAACUAAUAGUUUUUGUUCUCGGGGCUUAGUUUUUCGUAGUAGCAUUUAAGAAAGAUUAAGUAUUACGUGAAUGGAAUUUGAAUUGACUAGCAGUGGUACUGCCCAGAUCUGAAGUGCAUUUCAACAACGAGUUUCUAUGAUAAUAGACACCAGAUCUGAAGUGUGUACACAAAACUCGUAAAAAUAACAUCCGAAAGAAAUAUAUCUAUUAUACCUGAAGUGCAACCUUGGAUCCAACGAAAAGAGGGAUCCAUUUGCUGUGCUCCAAACGGCAGCCUCUGCGGUGCACUUGAACUGAAAAAAAAAUUAAAAAAAAAGAAAUCCCUAAGGAAGAUAGUAAACUUAUUACAUUCAGCCAGUACGGGAAUUCCGUAUCCUCAAAACCUGGUUCCAUUCUCGCAACUCUUCGAAUUUGAGCGGAAAUUUUCAGAGAAAAGCGCUCGACUCCCAUGGCUUUCGCGGUGCCUGGAUGGAGAAUUGGAGAAGAAAAUGUCAUUUGAAUCUUUGAGUUUUAUAGGGCUGGGCCUAACUCGGUUCGAGUCGGUUCUGAAAACCAAUCGGUUUUUUAAAACUAAAACCAAACACAAACCGAGUUGGAGACCGAACCGAAUCAAAUUAAUACGGUUCGGUUCAUAUCGGUUCAAUUUUCCCCUUUUUAAUUACUCAAAAAUUUCAGCCUAAAUUUAAUUCUUUUUACAUCCCAAUUUAAAUAUAACCACACAAAAUUUUAAAUAAAAUUUUCUUGUAAUUACUAUAAUCGAUAUUUUUUAAAACGAAUUUUAGAAUUUAGAUGAAUCAUCUUCAACUUCAUGAUAGACAAGAGACUCAUUCUCAUCUUGAAUUUUGUUUUUUUUUUAAAUUUGAACUCUUGCUUGAAGACUUAGAUAUCUGCAAGGAUGAGUUAAUCUGAAAAAAAUAGAUAAUUGAUUAAUCAAGCAGCAUUAAUGAAGAUAAAUUUAUUCCAUGUUUUUAUUCUUUACGUUUACAGACAUUAUAAUUACAUUUAUAUAUUUAAUAGAGAAACAUAUAAAUCAAAUUGUCUAACAAGAGAAAAUUAUGCUAUCACCAAGUCUUCCAUUGAAACUUCGAGGAAUAGUUUUGUAUUUGGGAAGAAUAAGCAAAGUUUCCACAUAUAACAUUGCAUUUUGAAUUUCAUUAAUAUGCAUUGCAUGUUUUGAGAAGAAUAAAUUGCAAUGAAGCACAUUGCAGGUGGAUUAAAUGUAACCUGGAAACACACCAAACCCAAGUAUUAGUAGAGGUAAGAUUAUUUAUAUUAUUUUUUCCCUCAUGUCUCUUGGAUUAGGCUACACGUACAGUGCAAUUAAAAAAAAAAGCUACAGUAAACAGAAACAACAGCAUUGAAAGCAUUUAAAAUUAAACAAAGUAACAAUCUCAAUCCCUAAGAGCUAUACCUUCAACUUAAAUCACUAGAUAUCACAUAAGUGAAAAAAUCAACUUUAAAACCUAUUGAGAGAGAGCGAGAGAGAGAGCUCAAAAACUCAAAAACACAUCUUAAAUCCUUCAACCUCUGCGUACAAUAAGUAAGAAGUAACUCUGCGACAGAAUGAUGAGACGACAAAGAUAUGACGUUGCACGGCGACGGGCUGUGAGAAAACCGGAAGGAAUUGCUAAUGGCCCACGACAACGGUUGUAAGAACACGGCAAAGAGUUGCUAAUGGGCAACGAAGACGGUUGUGAGACAAACGAUGGAAGUGAGAGAGAAGAAAGAUAAUGGUAGUUGGGGGGAUGUUGAUGUUAUUAAUAAUUUUUACUAGUUAUAUUAAGUUACUGAUAUUAUACAAGGCAACUUUAUUGUUGAUGUUAUUAAUAAUUUUUAAUGAGUGGUGCUAUUGCCAAAAUCAUAAGCGAUUUUGGAGAUGGAACCGGCGAUUUUUGCCCUAGUUUGAAGCUCAAACAGACUGACUAUAUCAUGCCAAGAAAGAAUUUCCCAGUCUGGGAUUUGAUAUGCCAAAAUCAUAAGCUCAUAAAGGCAGACAUACAUGAAUGGUAUGAUGGACAAGAGCUGCAACAUGCGCUGCUCCAACUUAUUAACUCAAAUGUUAUUAUUUCUAAAGAACAACACGACGGCGACGACAAUGGCGAUUCCACUCAGCUAGUUACAGUUGACUGCAAGCUUCAUAAAAUUCCAGUCUCUACCCAUUGAGUGUAGCAGAUAUUAUCAAUGUAGCCGAUGUUGUAGAAUUGAUGUUAAUGUCACAUUUCAUCCGGCUGGUUUCAGCCUUAGCAAUUAAUGUUCAAGGUGUUUGUUGCUGAAUGAAAUUGAAUGAAAAUUUACAAAUAUAAGAUGGCUUCAAUUUUUUAUUUUAUUUUAUUUUAUUAUUAUUUUAGUUUGCUUGUUGCCUUGUUAAAGUUCUGGCCACUUAAGACAGUUAUACAAAUGAGAUUGAAAAAAGGGGAUCCCAAAUCAUGUAAUCAUGAAAUUAAUGGAAUGAAAAUGACUAGUAAUAUAAUUCGAGAAAGGUAUAUAUAGAAUUGCUAUCUAAUUGACUCUUGCUACACCGAUCGUUCCUCGCAUAUUAGCCAUAAUUUUGAAUUAUUUAGGAUAAAUUUUAGAUUAUUCCACUCAUGAAUUAACUAUCUUCAAAUUAUUUCUUUAUUUUUUAAAACUUAAAGUUACUCCCUAAAUCUUAUUAUUUCCCAUUAAUUUUAAUGAUUAAAAGGAUAAAUAGUAUUUAAAAAAUUUGAAACAUUCAAUUAAUUGAAAGAAAACAAACUUUUCUAUUUUUUUUCACUCUUUUAUAUUUAUUAUUAGACAAAAUGACUAAUACUCCUUACUUAUAUUUUGGAGAACAAAGAUACUUCAACAUAAAUUAAAUUAAUUUUCAGUUAAUUUCAAAAAAAUCAAAAUUCAUUUGUUAAUGUUCAUUCACCUUCAUCUAAUAAAACUCACUCUCUUCUAUAUAUAAAUACAGCACAACCGCAACAUUCUCUCUCCCAAAAUUUUUGUUGAUAAAUAAUUUUAAAUCAACAAUCCGUAAAUAAAAACUAAAGUAAAACUAAAAUCUAAUUAAAAUCUAAACAAGUUUUGCAAUAACUUGAUUAGUUUUGAAGUCAAAAUUCCAUAUUUGAAAAUGCUCUGAAUAGUUAUCGAUUAUAGUUGAUUGUCAUGGUCAAGAAAAUUCUAAGAACUCAAAGGCAAUCAAAGCCGUGGCCAUGGAUACCAAACCCAUGGCUGCUUAAAAAUCGAUAAUUAACAAAAAAAUUGUUAAAAAGGAGACAUUUUUGUUCUUUAGCAAAUCAACUACGGUCAAUUGUUAAAGUAAGUUAUUUUAAGGUAAUUUGAAAUUUUCAAAUGUAAGGAGGUAAUAUAAAGAUAAUCAAUUCACAUGGGUGGAGUAAUCUGAGACUUACCCAAUUAUGUAUAUUGAAUAGACGUAUGGUUGAAAUUUAUAUAACUUUUUGCAUUUUAUUUCUUAUGUUUUACAUAUACAUGAGGAACUUAAUAUAACCCAGAUUACUUGCAUGAUUAACACAUAAUUAUUUGUAAUCUACGCAUAUUAUGCCCAAAAAUUUUCAAUUUUAAUUUUGAUGAGUAAGUAAUACACAGAAACUUGUCUGCAAAAGGUAUAUAUCAAAUAGAAAUAGACCACUCCAUUGAAAUUAGCUUUUGAAUUAUCUUGAAAUUGAAAGGCCAUUCAUAGAUUUAGUGCUCUUUUACUUUUGCUGUAUUCAGAAUUUGUCAGCUUCUCUCAUAAAUUAUCCACAAGAUUAAUUAACACUCCUGAAAGUGUUUUCCUGAAAAUGAUCUUAACUGAAUGAAUAUGGCAAUAUGAAAAGAUGCAAUUGAAUUUCCAGUUAACAAAAAGCAUAGUAGGAUUCACUUAAUAGCCUAAAAUGGUAAGAAUUAAUUGCUACAGUGAUUGAUUUCUUCGAAAGCAUAUGACAGACAUACUUCCAAAUCUUGACUGCAAAUCACAAUAGCCUAACAAGUCUAUUGCAAAUCAUGAACAAAUCCACUUUAACAAAAGGGUGUUUGAAACCUAAUCUUCCAAACAGAGAAAUAAUAAUGUCGAGCAAAGGUACCCAGCUGCAAUUGUCUUAUUGUACAAUGCACAAUGAUCCAUUUUGCUGAUUCUGGAUUUGUUUCUUUCAAUCUCAUAUUAUUCAACAUUUAAUGAUAUUCAGCUCACUAUUUUACGUAAACUUUAUUACCACAUUGUUGCACUUUUUGUUACUUUUGGGGUUUGUCGUGUUGACUCACCUCCAACAUAAGGCACGCCAAAGCAUCCAGAGGCCAGGCCUAGAGUCCCUCUCCGAGAGCAGUCAUUACACUAUUGUACAUAAAAUUGAAUCAUAUCAUAAGCAAACAACAAAAUAUGUUAUGACUAAGAAGGAUUGCACAUACAUUAAUAAGACACAAGCAGCCAUCAACAAUAAACAGAACCAAAAGCAUAGGCAGGAAUUGCUAUUAGAUACUUGAAAUUGGUACCUUAAUUGCAGCCUAAAUUGUUGACAAAUUAGCUAGCUCAAUUGCACAUUUGAAUUGAAGGAUGCAUAAUUGACUCCCAAGACCUGGGUUAAUUUGUACCAACCAAUAUGUUCGGAAUCAAUCAAACAGUGGCUGCCAAUUGUGUUUCUAUAAACCAGUCAUUAGAGAACUAUUAAUGCAUCUAAAUCAAUCAAACAGUGGCUGAUGUGCACGCCGCGCACAAACAUGAUUAGGUAUAGAUUGCUACAACUAAUAGUUUUUGUUCUCGGGGCUUAGUUUUUCGUAGUAGCAUUUAAGAAAGAUUAAGUAUUACGUGAAUGGAAUUUGAAUUGACUAGCAGUGGUACUGCCCAGAUCUGAAGUGCAUUUCAACAACGAGUUUCUAUGAUAAUAGACACCAGAUCUGAAGUGUGUACACAAAACUCGUAAAAAUAACAUCCGAAAGAAAUAUAUCUAUUAUACCUGAAGUGCAACCUUGGAUCCAACGAAAAGAGGGAUCCAUUUGCUGUGCUCCAAACGGCAGCCCUCUGCGGUGCACUUGAACUGAAAAAAAAAUUAAAAAAAAAAAAAGAAAUCCCUAAGGAAGAUAGUAAACUUAUUACCUUCAGCCAGUACGGGAAUUCCGUAUCCUCAAAAUCUGGUUCCAUUCUCGCAACUUUUUCAAGUUGAGCGGAAAUUUUCAGAGAAAAGCGCUCGACUCCCAUGGCUUUCGCGGUGACUGGAUGGAGAAUUAGAGAAGAAAAUGUCCUUUGAAUCUUUGAGUUUUAUAGGGCUGGGCCUUACUCGGUUCGAGUCGGUUUUGGAAACCAAUCGGUUCUUUAAAACUGAAACCAAACACGAACCGAAUAGGAGACCGAACCGAAUCAAAUUAAUUCGGUUCGGUUCAGAUCGGUUCAAUUUUUCCCCUUUCUAAUUACUCAAAAUUUUCAGCCUAAAUUUAAUUCUUUUUACAUCCUAAUUUAAAUAUAACCACACAAAACUUUAUAUAAAAUUUUCAUGUAAUUGGUUAAUUACAAUUAAUCAAUAUUUUUUAAAACGAAUUUUAGAAUUUAAAUGAAUCAUCUUCAACUUCAUGAUAGACAGGAGACUCAUUCUCAUCUUGAAUUUUGUCUUAUUUUGAAAUUUGAACUCUUGCUUGAAGACUUAGAUAUCUGCAAGGAUGAGUUAAUAUGAAAGAAAAUAGAUAAUUGAUUAAUCAAGCAGCAUUAAUGAAGAUAAAUUUAUUCCAUGUUUUUAUUCUUUACGUUUACAGACAUUAUAAUUACAUUUAUAUAUUUAAUAGAGAAACAUAUAAUUCAAAUUGUCUAACAAGAGAAAAUUAUACUAUCACCAAGUCUUCCAUUGAAACUUCAAGGAAUAGUUUUGUAUUUGGGAAGAAUAAGCAAAGUUUCCACAUAUAACAUUGCAUUUUGAAUUUCAUUAAUAUGCAUUGCAUGUUUUGAGAAGAAUAAAUUGCAAUGAAGCACAUUGCAGGUGAAUUAAAUGUAACCCGGAAACACACCAAACCCAAGUAUUAGUAGAGGUAAGAUUAUUUAUAUUAUUUUUUCCCUCAUGUCUCUUGGAUUAGGCUACACGUGUUGAGUGUUAGAAAAUGCAUAUUUAUAAAGGAGAAAACCAUCAUUUUACAUUUCAAGUCUUACUGACAACCCUUACUUUUAUGUAUUUAACCUUCUUGUGAUUUAAUUACAUGUGUUUUAUUUUAAUUAAGUAUUUUAUGUAUUUUAGGGGCAUCAUAGUCAUUUCACAAUAAACGAGAAAUCAGAUGGCAAAACGGACAUCACUUUUGAACUCAGGACGGUCGAAAACCUUAGGAUGAGCAUAAAAGGAAAAAUGGCACUGUUCACUUGUACGGUACUAUUCACGUGUACGGUACUGUAUACGUUACUGUUCACGACACUGUUCACAUAGACGGAUGAUGACGUGGCAUUGACCGAUGAUGUGGCAUUGACUGAUGAGGUGUCACGAUCCUGUUGGACUAAAAUUCUUAUGUACUGUUGAUGGUGACGUGGCAGCAUAUCAGUGGAUGAAAAAUCUCGCGUACGGUGCAUGCAUCACACAGGAUUAUUUUCAACCAAACAGCGUUACUGUUCAUCUGGGUCAAACCGCGUUACUGUUCAAAGUCGGGUCAAACCGUGUUACUGUUCAUCCGCGUGGUCAAACCGUGGACUGUUGACUGAUGACGUGGCGCAAUCCUGAGCGUCCAAACUGUUUUUAAUCCGAUGGCCAUGAUUUACUCCAUGUAUCUAUAAAAAGGGGGCCUCUCCCCCCUAAUUUGAUAUCUCUGAAUCCAUUUUUGGGAUCCAUUUUCUGUAAUUCCUUCUCCAUCUUGUAUUUUCUUCGUAUUUUAAUAAAUUUCCAUUUUGCCCCUAGUUCAAUUAUGAGCGGCUAAUUUUCUUUCAAGCUUGGGUUGAAGGUGAAGUCUCAACAUGUGUCAUGGGCUUUAUUUGGUAAAUUUAUUUUCUCUUCCCCUCUAGUUUUUGUGGAUGUUUUGACUUUUCGUCGACAAAUAAUACUAAUCUUGUCUAGUACCGCCUUGGUUUCACCGGCCCUCUAGUACAAGGUUAUUAUUAUUUGGCACGAUAAGCCCUUAGCACCAUAUUGAUUAGAGCGUGGUUCAUGAGGUGUGGAUUCCCCCCUCAUGAUUUAAUUGGUAUUAAUACGGAUUAUUUAGCCCAUGAUGCAUGUUGAUACGGAUCCAGAUACCCAAGUACGUCAUUUCAAUAUAAUUCUCGUCAAUUUAUUCUCGCCAUUUCAAUACCAAUUUUAGAAUUUAUUCUCGCCAUUUCAAUUCCAAUUUUAGAAUUUAUUCUCGCCAUUUUAAUUUAAGUUUUAGCAUAUUCCAAAUCAUUUCCACCAUAAAUCCAACAACCCAUUUACAAAAUUAAUUCUAUACACAAUUAAACUGCACCUCCUCGUGGGAUCGACACUCGUCACCAUAGAUCUAUACUACAAUAGAUUCGUGCGCUUGCGAGUACAUUAAAAUUUGCACAACAACACGUACAGUGCAAUUAAAAAAAAAAGCUACAGUAAACAGAAACAACAACAUUGAAAGCAUUUAAAAUUAAACAAAGUAACAAUCUCAAUCCCUAAGAGCUAUACCUUCAACUUAAAUCACUAGAUAUCACAUAAGUGAAAAAAUCAACUUUAAAACCUAUUGAGAGAGAGAGAGAGAGAGAGAGAGCUCAAAAAAUCAAAAACACAUCUUAAAUCCUUCAACCUCUGCGUACAAUAAGCAAGAAGUAACUCUGCGACAGAAUGAUGAGACGACAAAGAUAUGACGUUGCACGGCGACGGGCUGUGAGAACACCGGAAGGAAUUGCUAAUGGCCCACGACAACGGUUGUAAGAACACGGCAAAGAGUUGCUAAUGGGCAACGAAGACGGUUGUGAGACAAACGAUGGAAGUGAGAGAGAAGAAAGAUAAUGGUAGUUGGGGGGAUGUGGUGUGUGAGAGAGAGGAGAUGGGUUUGAUAUAUUUUUUUCCACAGAUAGGGAAUGAAAUUAGAUCUAGGGUUUCUUCAUUUUUUUUUUAAAUUUUAAAGUGAAGAACCGAUUGGGUCUUAUAUUCUUGAACCAUUCGGUUUUUAGCUAUUGAACUGAACCGAAAUGAAUUUAAUAAUUUCGGUUCGAUAAAAACCGAAUAGGAUGCCCAUCCCUACUUUUGAUAAAUUAAUUCCAACACUCGCUUGAGAACUUAUUUGGAAAAAGAUUUAAAAAAUGAGAAACAAAAGUAAUUUUGUUAAUAAUUAAUUUUGUGGAACAGAUUAUAAGUAAACAUGUUGUAAUGUUAUUAUGUUGUAAUGUUAAUAUAUAUUCUCGUGUUACUAGUUAUAUUAAGUUACUGAUAUUAUACAAGGCAACUUUAUUGUUGAUGUUAUUAAUAAUUUUUAAUGAGUGGUGCUAUUGCCAAAAUCAUAAGCGAUUUUGGAGAUGGAACCGGCGAUUUUUGCCCUAGUUUGAAGCUCAAACAGACUGACUAUAUCAUGCCAAGAAAGAAUUUCCCAGUCUGGGAUUUGAUAUGCCAAAAUCAUAAGCUCAUAAAGGCAGACAUACAUGAAUGGUAUGAUGGACAAGAGCUGCAACAUGCACUGCUCCAACUUAUUAACUCAAAUGUUAUUAUUUCUAAAGAACAACACGACGGCGACGACAAUGGCGAUUCCACUCAGCUAGUUACAGUUGACUACAAGCUUCAUAAAAUUCCAGUCUCUGCCCAUUGAGUGUAGCAGAUAUUAUCAAUGUAGCCGAUGUUGUAGAAUUGAUGUUAAUGUCACAUUUCAUCCGGCUGGUUUCAGCCUUAGCAAUUAAUGUUCAAGGUGUUUGUUGCUGAAUGAAAUUGAAUGAAAAUUUACAAAUAUAAGAUGGCUUCAAUUUUUUAUUUUAUUUUAUUUUAUUUUAUUUUAUUAUUAUUUUAGUUUGCUUGUUGCCUUGUUAAAGUUCUGGCCACUUAAGACAGUUAAACAAAUGAGAUUGAAAAAAGGGGAUCCCAAAUCAUGUAAUCAUGACAUUAAUGGAAUGAAAAUGACUAGCAAUAUAAUUCGAGAAAAGUAUAUAUAGAAUUGCUAUCUAAUUGACUCUUGCUACACCGAUCGUUCCUCGCAUAUUAGCCAUAAUUUUGAAAUAUUUAGGAUAAAUUUUAGAUUAUUCCACUCAUGAAUUAACUAUCUUCAAAUUAUUUCUUUAUUUUUUAAAUAAUUAGUACUAUUUAUCUUUAUAAUUUUUUUAUCUUUUUAUUAUUUUUUUUAUCUUUUUAUUUUCUUCAAAUUAGUACUAUUUAUCUUUAUAAUUUUUUAUGACUAUUUUUCCAAGAAAAACAUCAUAAACUACAAUAAAAUUGAUUAACAUAUACUAAUUUAGAAUAUUAAAGGAUGAUAUUCAAUUGAACAUGAUUUAUUUUAUGAUAAUAAAUUAUCCUAUUUAUAUUCUUUGAGAUACUUAUUGUUGGUUUAACUUUUAUAAUUUGUAAGAGUACAAAUGUAAAAAUACAAGUUUUCAAAAUUUUUAAAUUUAAAAAAAUUUAAUACUUAUUUUUAGAAAUAAAAAAAACAUUUAUAUUCAUACAUUCAAUUUUUUUUUUAAAUUCAGACUAAGGGUCAGUUUGGGAUUGCGGAGGCUGAUGAAAUAAGCCGCUUGUACUGUGCAGAUAAAAUAAGUCGCUUAUUAAAAAAGUAGCUUGGAGUUUGGUAAACAGUGCAGUUGUAGUUGCUGUGAGUUUGAAAAGUAGAGUGUAUGUGUUUGGUAAAUUUUAUUACGAAAGUGUUGUUUUAUUAUAUAAUAACCAAAAUAGACAUAAGUUUUAAUUACUUUUUAUUUUUAGAGUAUGUUUAAUAAAAUUGUUUAGACAUAUCUUUUUUCUUAAAUAUGUAAAAUUACAUUAAAUAAUCAAUUAAAAAAAAUCUAAAGUACUUUAUAAUCUGUUACUUAAAAUAUAAUAAAGUUAAAUGUAUGAUUUAUAUAUUAGAGUUUAUGGAUAAAUAAGAUAUAAUUAUCUUUUUAUUAAAAUAUAGGGUUAUAAUAGGAAUUUUAAAAAGAUAUGGUAGCUUAUUAAAUAAGCUGCUUAUCAAAGUAACCCCCUAGCUGUUUUUAAAAGCUGCUGAUAAAAUGGAGAAAAUUAUGAAAUAAGUUGCUUUUACAAAAUUUACUAAACACUAUUUUUAUUGAAAAUUAUGAAAUAAGCAGCUUAUUAAAUUUCAACCAUAAUCCCAAACGGAUCCUAAUUUAAAUUUAGAAAAAUAAUUGCUAAUCCCCAAACAAAAAUUCGAGUCAGUAACCUCUCAACAAUUGACUGCAAGCUUCAUAAAAUUCCAGUCUCUGCCCAUUGAGUGUAGCAGAUAUUGUUAGUAUAGUUAGUAUAGCCGAUGUUGUAGAAUUGAUGUUAAUGUCACAUGUUUCAGCCUUAGCAAUUAAUGUUGAAGGUGUUUGCUGUUGAAUGAAAUUGAAUGAAAAUUUACAAAUAUGAGAUAGCUUCAAUUUCUUUUUUUAAUAUAGCUUAAAUUUUUUUUUUCAAUUCAGUUAGCUUGUUGCCUUGUUAAAGUUCUGGCCACUGAGAAAGUUAUACAAAUGAGAUUGAAAAAAGGGGAUCUCAAAUCAUAUAAUCAUCAAAUUAAAGGAAUGAAAAUGACUAACAAUAUAAUUCAAAAAGGUAUAUAUAGAUUUGCCAUCCAAUUGACGCUUGCUAUAUCAUCGUUCCUCGCAUAUUAGCCAUAAUUUUGAAAUAUUUAGGAUAAAUAUCAAAUUAUUCCACUCAUGAAUUAACUAUCUUCAAAUUAUCCCCUUAUUUUUAAAAACCUAAAUUUACUCCUCAAAUCUUAUUAUUUCUCCAUUAAUUUUAAUUGUUAAAAGGGUAAAUUAGUAUCUGUAAAAUUUGAAACAUUCAGUAAUCGAAAGAAAUCAAGCCUUUCUAUAUCUUCACUCUUUUAUAUUUAUUAUUAGAUAAAAUGACUAAUGCCCCUGGCUUGUAUUUUGGAGAACAAAGAUACUUUAACAUAAAUUAAAUUAAUUUUAAUUUAAUUUCAAAAAAUUAAAAUUCUCAAAAUUCAUUUGUUAAUGUUCAUUCAUCUUCAUCUAGUAAAACUCACUUGCUUACUAUUCAUUCGUUCAUUCAUUCUCAUCUAAUAAAACUUACUCUCUUCUGUAAAUAAAUGCAGUACAAUUGAAACAUUCUCUCUCCCAAAAUUUUUGUUGAUAGAUAAUUUUAAAUAAACUAUUAGUAAAUAAAAACUAAAGUAAAACUAAAAUCCAAUUAAAAUCUGAGCAAGUUUUGCAAUAACUCAAUUAGUUUUGAAGUCAAAAUUCCAUAUUUGAAAAUACUCAGAAUAGUUAUCGAUUAUAGUUGCAUAUCAUGGUCAAGAAAAUUCUAAGAACUCAAAGGCCAUGCAUCCAUGGCAGCGCGGCCAUGGAUACCAAACCCAUGGCUGCUUGAAAUCGUUUAUUAACAAAAAAAAAUUGUUAAAAAAGAGAUAUUUUUGUACUUUAACAGGUCAACGACAGUGAAUCGUUAUAGUUAACUAUUUUUAGGGUAAUUUGAAAUUUUCAAAAGUAGAGAGAUAAUACAAAGAUAAUCAAUUCACAGGUGGAGUAAUCUGAAACUCACCCAAUCAUGUAUAUUGAAUAGAUGUAUGGUUGAAAUUUAUAUAACUUUUUGCAUUUUAUUUCUUCUGUUUUAAAUAUAUAUAUAUAUAUAUAUAUGAGAAAUUUAAUUAUAACCUAGAUUGCUUACAUGAUUAGCGCAUAACUAUUUGCAAACUACCUACGUUAUGCCCAAAAUUUUGCAAUAUUAAUUUUGAUGAGUGAUUAAGACAGAAAAUUGUCUGCAAUAGGUAUAUAUCAAAUAGAAAUAGACUACUCCAUUGAAAAUAGCUUUUGAAUUAUCUUGAAAUUGAAAGGCCAUUCAUAGAUUUAGUGCUCUUUUGCUUUCGUUGUAUUCAGAAUUUGCCUGCUUCUCUCAUGAAUGAUCCACAAGAUUAAGAAACACUCCUGAAAAUGCUUUCCUUAAAGUGAUCUGAACUCAUUGAAUAUGACAAUAUGAAAAGAUGCAAUUGAAUUUGCAGUUAACAAAAAGCAUAGUAGGAUUCACUUAAUAGCCUAAAAUGGUAAGAAUUAACAGCCACAGUGAUUUAUUUCUUCCAAAGCUUAUGACAGAUAUCCUUCCAAAUCUUGAUUGCAAAUCACAAUGGCCUAAUUAGUCUAUUGCAAAUCAUGAACAGGUCCACUUUAAGAAAAUGGUGUUUGAUAUUCUGAACCUAAUCUUCCAAACAAACAAAUAAUAAUGUCGAGCAAAGGUACCUAGCUGCAAUUGUGUUCUUGUACAAUGCACAAUUAUCCAUUUUGCUGAUUCUGGAUUUGUUUGUUUCAAUCUCAUAUUAUUCAACAUUUUGUGAUAGUUCACUAUUUUAAGUAAACUUGAUUAUCACAUUGUUUCACUUUCUGUUAUGUAGUAACUUGUCAGUUCUUUAACCUUAAACAAAACAAGUUACUGCCCAAGAUUUCUUAGAUUAGAUCAAACACAAGUUGCACAAUGCUUAAGAUCGAAUGGAAUCUGUCACAGCUUAAGUAAUCAAAUGGAAUUUAACCAAGCACCAGAAAGAACCAAGAAUCAAAAGAUAAAACCAACCAAGAACCAUAAAGAUUACGUGGUUCAACAAAGCACAAAGCACUCUGUUUACAUCCACGGGAGAAGUCUUUGAUGAGCUUUUAUUGAUUCUACAAUGGAGGUUUUACACUGAGCCUUUACAAGAUUCUAUUCGAGAACAAAAUGCACUCUUACUCUCUCUAGAACUCUCUCUACAAGACUCACUUAGUACCAUGCUUUUCUGACCCUCAUUCUCAGCCUUUAUAAUCUGUUGCAGAGGCCAAGAAGGAAUUACCAGAUCGUUCAGUUUGUUAACACGUGGAUAACAAACUUAACGAACUCAUUUCAGGCUCCUGCAUGUGCUUCCUCACGUGGUCACUUAAGUGGCUCAUCUAAACGCGCCUCAGUCACGUCGUUUAGAUGCAUAUGUUUUAUGCUGAGAGCAGCUGAGCUGCACGUGAGUCUCUUAAGUAAUUAGAAGCCUUAAAACGUUGCCGUAUUUCCGAAUUCAACUUAGAUUCAUUUGUCAGCUUCACAUGUUACUUUUGUAGUUUGUCAUGUCGUGUGAAUACUAUUAGCUAGUUAAAGGCCCUGCCAUAGUGAGAUGCACGAAUUGAAAUUCUGGCUCAGCAUAUGUGCUGUGAAAGCUACACGAGAUUACCAACAAGUGCGUACAUCAGCUAGCAGGGGCUGUUAUAUCCUAACUAAGAUUUAAGAUUUGGGAAUGCAGCUGCAUUAAAUAUUUGUAGAGAGACUUUUGCCGCCUUAGUGGUCCUACCCAGCUCGAAUAUAGAUUAGGCGGGCACAAUGUAAUUUUCGGAUACCAAAUGAUUUAAUACACCAAAAAAAAACUACACAAGAUUUGUUGGGUUGAGUGCCACAGCCUUGUGAACUAAAUUACGGAAACUGGUGUAAAAAAUUAUUGCUUCUGCUCUUUGUUUAAACAAAUUUACCACUGGUAAUCGAUAUGUUGUUGGUAUUAAUGCGAGUCUUUACUAUUAUUUAAGUUUUUGGAUAAGUCCUCUUGACGCAGCUCAAUUGGCAGUAAAUAUGCUUUGUUUAAUGUAUCCACGAUAACCUUUAAUUCAAGUAAUAAUAUAAAGCUCAGUGGCUAGUGUUUAGUGGGCGCUUUUUUUUUUAAUUUAAUGACUUAAUUCCAAUCAACUAAGUUAUUAAGUUUUUUUUUCAAUUUAAUGAAAAUUUUUAAUCAUUAAUCAUUAAGUUAUUAAGCUAUUUUUUUUAUCUUUUCGUUUAAUCUAAAAAAUCUGAAUGAUAUCAUUAAAAAAUAUUCUCCAAAAUAUUCUUAUCUAAUUAAUUAAUUUUCAUCCUUACCUAAAUAAAAUUUACUAAUUAGUAUUAUUAUUUGUUGUCAGGAGAAAACAAGAAAGCAUGUACGUGAGUUGCAUGACAUAAGCAAGAUGCUAUGAAGAUAUGAGAAUAAGAAGCAUGAUGUAAGUAAAAUAUCACGAAGAUAUGUGAGCAAGAAAGCAUGCAUGUGAGAAGCAUAAUAUAAGCAAGCUGUCAUAACAAUAUGAGAGCAAGAAGUGUGACAUAAGUAAGAUGUUAUGAUGUAGGAAGUUAUUUGAGGUAUUUUAAAAUUCUAGAAUUUUAAUAUUUUAGGACUUUCUAUUUUUAUCAGGAUCAACUAAGGUAUGAUAUUUAAUUAACUUAGGAAACUAUCUUUUGUUUCCAUUAUAAUUGUGAUUUAGNNNNNNNNNNNNNNNNNNNNNNNNNNNNNNNNNNNNNNNNNNNNNNNNNNNNNNNNNNNNNNNNNNNNNNNNNNNNNNNNNNNNNNNNNNNNNNNNNNNNUAAGUGAGUUUACUCUAUUAUAAAUAGAAAAGUCUUAUUAUUAUUUUCAGCACUUCAAAUUCAAUUAUUCAGUAAAACUCUCUUUUUAUAAUUUCUUUUGGAAUUAUCUAUCAAAAUCUCUCUUGUAGAGUCGUUUGGAUUAGAGCAUCAUCUAAUCUCGCAUUACGUGUUAUUAAAAAUCUCAUUGAUUCAUUUGGAUUAGAACGAGAUCUAAUUACGCUUUGAUUAGAGCUAGCUCUAAUUAUGAAUAACCCCAUGCAAGCUAGCUCACAACAGAAAAUUAGAAACUUAUUAUACAAAUUACUCAUAUAAUUAACAAAAAGAAAAAUGUACUUAUAUACAGGACACUACAACAAAAUCAGUUUUUAUUCCGGAUGUCCUAAUUAAAAUUUGAAACAAAAUCUUCUUUCAUAAAGUUUUUUUUUUUUUUUUGGUUGGCUUUUAGCAGUUAUUUAUGUCAAGAUCGCUUUAGAUCAAAAUUUUAACAAAAUAUGAGCGUUUGAAUGAGACACCUUUUACACCAUAAGAAAUAAGUCUAAAUAACAUAUGCCAGCAACACAAACUAAUUUACACCAUCAUUGUUGUCCCAAAUACCUUCCUUUCUACUUACAAAGAUGCUAAUGCUAAAUCUGCAACUUUGCAAGAUUCAUUUUCAUAACAGCAUGAACCAAGAAGUUUAGUAAGACUCCAAAACUGUACAACAAACUUGGUGAUCACAUGCUUCCUUAAUUCUUAUUAACAAACUCAUUAACGAAUGUGACUGAACAAUAAUUUUUUAGCCCUGUGAUCACGCCAACAACUUUAAACCUUAGAAUAUGCAUCUCAUCAUAGUAUCUGCACUACCUAACUUUUGAAACUUGCAUCAGAUAGCCAUCAUUAUAUUAAGCCACCAAAAAAUUUCACAUCAUCUAGUUUCUACCACCACCUAUCUUUUAUAAGAAGUUCAUGUAACCAUAUAGUCACCAAAAUAAUCUGCACUACCUAAUUUUUGAAACUUGUAUCAUCAAAACACUUUUUCCAAAAAAUCGAGAGAACCUCCCAUCGGCUAAAUGAAAAACUUAAUUUGAGUUUCAUUCUGCUCUGAAGAACAAAAAGUCCAAAGAAAAACUUUAUUUGACCUUUUUGUUAUUCAAUAAAUAAAAAUGACAAACAAUGUCUUCAACUGACAAACAUAAAAGAAGCUGUCCUGGCACCGUAUUACCCGACUCCUUAUUAAUCAAUCCAAAAUAAAAAUACAAGAGCCAUAGGGGCUAGCCAGACGCAAGGCUAGAGUUCAACACUCCAUGCCAAGCUAGUGUCCAAAUCUGCAAGCCAAUCUAUCUUCUCCCAAAUGUCCUCACCGUUAAAAAUGUACCUUUUGAUGUUGUUUACACCAUUAGAUGUAUACUCAACCACAACUUGCUCUAUGCACUGCCGCCAGCAUGAGAUGGGACGGGAUUUGCAGCAUUGAGCAAUCCCUCCUUCAUAUACUGCCUGCUUCUUAUAAGAAAACUCAAACUGAAACAAAAGGACAAGGCACUUAUAAGCAAAGCAGCGUUUGUUACAAGCACGCAAAACAAAGGCAUAAACGUAAAAUGGACCAACUUAAGUACCAGCAUUACAUGUGUAUCAUAAUCACAUAAUUCUCACAGUAUAAACCAAGAACUAAUUCAGACCAAUGCAAAAUCUUCAGUACCUUAAAAGAGAACCAGUUCGAGUAAAAUGAUUUGAUUGUAACAGUCCUUAAAUGAGGUGAAAUCCAGAGCAAACCAUCGAUAGUGUUUUUAAUUGCGACUUGCACACGGGUUCCAUUUAUUACAAAGUCCAGGUUGUUGUAACCAUAGAAUGGGGAAGAUCGGAUUUGCCUCAAGUCUUCUGGAAUAUCCGCAUUCUGCACAAAAGAAUUUGAAUAAUAUAUAAGAAAUAAAAAAGUAUGUAAAAUGGUAAACAGCUCGAUAUUUAAAUGUAUACAUAUAGCAUGCAAGAAGUGACAUACCUCACCCUUGUAACUUUCCAAAUUCACCGCUUUGGAAACAUUAUGGAACAUUGCAAGGAGUCCAAUAUACUCAGAAUACCAGUCAAUGUCGCUGUUAUUCUUGUUGAAACUGAGAUGAGUUUCCAACAAAGUCAUAGCACCUAUAGAGAAAGAUACCACAUCACCUUGAUAUCUGAAAAUACUUAAAUUAGGAGCCUCAAUCUUGACUUCAAUCAACCCUGCACAUUCAAAGAUCUUCAGCAUCUUAAGACUGAGACUUGAAAUCUUAAUACUCUUCAACUUGUCACAACCAACCAAAUUCAAAUUCUCGAGGAAUGGAAAGUUAGGAAUUUGGCUACAAAGCCACUCAUCCUUCAGAGAAAGCAGGCGCAGAGUUAAAAAUUUAAUAUUCUUACAGGAGGCUACAUUGAUCUCACAUGGUAAGCUUAAUUGAAUGCUAACUGUCUUCACAUUCAGAGCUUGGAUAGAAAGCCAUAGAACUUCCAGACAGUUACGAACCUUGAAUUCAUUGAGUUUGGUAAGACCAGAUAGAUCUAGAGUAUUAAAGCCAAGGCAGUUAACCAGACUUAGAUGUUCAAUCAAAGGACAGCCAUCAACUAGGCUCUCAAGGACUAGAUCGGGAGCAUAAACGCUUGUGAGACAUAAUUUUUUCAAAGAAGAUAACUUCACACUUCUCAGAGACUGCAGCUUACAACAACUUAAGGCUAACACUUGUAUUGAUUUUGAGCAUAAAACCUCUUGAGGCAAAUUGUAGCAGCGCUUGUUAUGAGCGUCAACUGAAGGCAUUCCUGGUCUAGUAUCAACAACACGUGCACUAGUAUGAAAUGGAAGUGCGAGUUUCAGCUCUUUGACAUCACUUUCUAAUGCAGAGAAGAUACACCGGUCUACAAAUGGUCCGAGUUCUUU